rnacentral:rRNA from 1 species
GAUGAACGCUAGCGGCAGGCCUAAUACAUGCAAGUCGAACGGGAUCUGAGGGUAGCUUGCUACCCGAUUUGAGAGUGGCGCACGGGUGCGUAACGCGUGAGCAACCUACCCAUAUCAGGGGGAUAGCCCGAAGAAAUUCGGAUUAACACCGCAUAAUAAUACGCUAACACAUGUUGAUGUAUUUAAAUAUUUAUAGGAUAUGGAUGGGCUCGCGUGACAUUAGCUAGUUGGUAAGGUAACGGCUUACCAAGGCGACGAUGUCUAGGGGCUCUGAGAGGAGAAUCCCCCACACUGGUACUGAGACACGGACCAGACUCCUACGGGAGGCAGCAGUAAGGAAUAUUGGUCAAUGGGCGCAAGCCUGAACCAGCCAUGCCGCGUGCAGGAUGACUGCCCUAUGGGUUGUAAACUGCUUUUGUUAGGGAAUAAACCUUCUUACGUGUAAGGAGCUGAAUGUACCUAAAGAAUAAGGAUCGGCUAACUCCGUGCCAGCCGCCGCCGUAA